CACGUAGGGUGCGAGCGUUGUCCGGAAUUAUUGGGCGUAAAGAGCUCGUAGGCGGUCUGUCGCGUCGGUCGUGAAAACCUGCAGCUUAACUGUGGGCUUGCGGUCGAUACGGGCAUGACUGGAGUUCGGCAGGGGAGACUGGAAUUCCUGGUGUAGCGGUGAAAUGCGCAGAUAUCAGGAGGAACACCGAUGGCGAAGGCAGGUCUCUGGGCCACUACUGACGCUGAGAAGCGAAAGCAUGGGGAGCGAACAGG
rnacentral:rRNA from 1 species